UCCUCAUGAUCCAAGUCUGGUUAAGCUUUAACCCAUGCCCAACUUGACCUUAAAAAAAUAGUAGAUAGGGUUAGAAAUGCGUAGGUCCGGCCAAUUUCUUGUUUCUUUUUCUGUCCUUUUAAGGUGAAACGGAGGAAAUUAGAGAACGCUUCCCCAAAAUUUAUUAGAAAAAGAUAUGAGGAAGUGAUCGAUUUUGAAUUUAAAUAUUUUAUGCUUCUGCAUUUCGAAUUACUCGCUCUUUCCUCUAAGCUUAGCUGUAGAGAGGGGCAUACAUGCAGAAGGAU
rnacentral:lncRNA from 1 species